UACGUAGGGUGCAAGCGUUAUCCGGAAUUAUUGGGCGUAAAGAGCUCGUAGGCGGUUUGUCGCGUCUGCUGUGAAAACUGGAGGCUCAACCUCCAGCUUGCAGUGGGUACGGGCAGACUAGAGUGCGGUAGAGGGAGAGUGGAAUUCCCGGUGUAGCAGUGAAAUGCGGUAGAGAUCGGGAGGAACAUCAGUUGCGAAGGCGGGCCUCUCUGGACCAGCACUGACACUGAGGCGCGAAAGCGUGGGGAGCAAACAGG
rnacentral:rRNA from 1 species